UUUCACCUCUGUUUCCUCAAUCAUAAAAUGGAGGCAGUAUUCAUGAUGUUCUGUACCUCGUGGGUUCUGAAGUUUUCCAUGACUUUUAUCCCCGUCUCUAGGCUAGGCCCUGGCCCGUAGCGGGCGCAUUAAAUGCCCGAUAAAUGAGUGAGCCUGGAUAAUAAGGUGGACGCCCGCUGUUGAGUUUCCACUGCCGAGCAAAAAAACAGAACUGUGGCGCUUAGUGACUUGGCCGGUCCCAUGGAAUGAUGCACAUCCAGUCCUUGGGGGAAACUUCCCCCAGCCACGUCCAUCUUAACAUUCCUUUUUCCUCUCAUCGCUUGGGGAGCGGUCUAUGAGCAGAAAGCAGGAAAGGAAGUGCCCUGCCCGAGCCCCCUGGCCCACCUCCCACCAGAGGCAAUGCACGCCCUGUGAACACCAAAGAGAAGGUGGCCCUGGAACUAAACAGUGGCACCCGGGACCCUGGAAUGCACAUCACAGAACCUUCCUGAACACAUGCCCAUUAGGGUAUUUUGCUUUCUGCUUUGACAGCUCUUUCUCACCCAGAUCACACGCUUUUUUCUUUUUUAAUUUCCUUUUCUUUCUCCCUCCCUCCCUAUAUUGAUCCCAGCUCCCUUUUACUUUUUCCCACCCACAUUCAUAUUUUUUCAUAUCUAGGUUCUUCAGGGUAGAAAGAGAUCUGCUUAAGGUAGCUCCAGAAUGGGCACCUGUGGCAUCCCAUAGUCCUUCUUCUGUUCUCCUGUUGGCAACCUUGAGGCCAUUUUCACGGGAAGAUGGGCUGUCAUUCCAGAGGCACCUCAUACCCAAACCAGAGGGACAGGGAUGGCUGCAGACAGCUAAGAGCCAUCCCAGCCUGGGUCAUUUCCAUUUUCGCUUUAUAAAUUGCCUCAAAAGAAUUUUGUUUCAAUGAUACGAAUCCCCUUUCCUUUGGGGUCCGCAGGUGUCACAUAUAGAAAAGGAGCAGAAAAGGGAGAAGCAACAAAUUGGAGACAAAGUCAAGGACGCAUAAAGGCCACGUUCGUUAAGACUCAAUCUUUAAUAACUUCUUUUAGUUAUUAUCAAUUUUUCCUGGCCCUUUAUUAUUAUUUUUUUUCAUCUCUCUUUCUAAUACGUGUGUUCAGUGCAGCUCAGGUUAUGUGCUUGGCUUCUGGAAAUAGAUGAUGCAAAAGAAACACUGUAGUGUGUACCAGCAGCAUUGAAGGAAUAGAAAAUGCUCCCUUUUACCCAUUUUAGAGAGAACCACCCCACCCAACAGACAGGCAAAAUUCUGCAAUUUGGCGAGGGGCGGGGGAGGCCUUAGGGAAUUGUCUUUCUGGCCACCGGCUUUGUGAAUGACCAGGAGGCAGUGAGACCUCCGAUUGGUACAAUUUGGCCUUGUGUUCACUCGCUAAUG